CCAGUGUAGAGAGUACAAUUGUUAAAUACCAACUACGAUGGACAGGGCAUGUCGUACGGAUGAAUGACGACAGACUGCCAAAACAGAUGUUGCACUGUCAGCUAAAUGAAGGGAAAAGAAAUGUUGGCGGGCAGAGAAAACGCUACAAGGAUUGCUUAAAGACUUUGAAACAAUGUGAAAUAGAUACUACAUACUGGGAAGACCUAGCAAAAGACAGAAUUAAAUGGAGAACUGUAGUCAGUGAAGGAGUGACAAAGUAUGAGGAGAAAAGAACAUCUAUGAUUCUUGAAAAAAGAAGGAGGAGACUGGAAAGAAGAGUCAUGUCAAAAUGUAUAUUACCACCUGGUCUGAUCUGUCCCAUAUGCGGCAGAAACUUCAAAGCUCGUAUUGGCUUGUACAGUCACUACAGAGCACAUCAUUCUUAGGGACCAUGGACCCCUAUCUUCUAACAGAAGAGGAGCCAGCAAGAAAGCAACUCGUUGGCAUACCUGCAGUCUGACGUUGAACAUCAUGGAGGCGACCAGGUAGAUGUAAGGGAACCUAAUUCUCAGUCUCCAGGCCAGGUGGAAGAAGAUCAUCAGCGUCCUGGUCAAGCCUUUAGAAAACACCCCGUAGCUGCGACCCGCAGUCCCCGAGAAGCGGAGCACCAAGUGAGACAGCCCCGCCAUGGAGGCUCCUGUGACGGGUUGGGGGGGUCACUAUGUGGGCUGAGCUGGCAGAAAAGCUGCGGCGAACAUCGGUGCUCCGCCCCAGCGACUGUCUCGUCUUUCUGUUCCUACCGUGUUGUUGUCAUUUUUUGGGGGUGGGGGGACUGAUUAUUUUGUGACACACGGAAGUGUAUUUGGUAAUGACUCUUGAGAAACAAACUUAAACAUUUAAAACAAAUACGCCAUUGGUAUUAAACAUAUUUACAUCUUAAAAGGUGAUUCAGAACGGCGUGGUUUGGUAGGAAAUUAAAAUCGGGUAAUUAUCGAAACGUAACUCCGAGUUUAGACUGCCAUAAAAUAGGGAUAGGACAAUACUGCAUUUUUUUUUUAAAUCGAUCCGAUAGGAAAUAAAUACGCAGCCGGUGUUGACUUUUUACGUGACUAUUUGGCUCUAAAACUUUUUUUUUCCAUGUUUAAAGACAGAACAAAACAUAAUAAAAUGAAUAAAUGCAUAAAUAAGUAAAUGAAUAAGUAAUAUACACUAUAUUGCCAAAAGUACCUGCCUUGACUCACAUAUGAACUCAAAGUGCCAUCAUUCCUAACCCAUAGGGUUCAAUAUGAUGUGGGUCCACCUUUUGCAGCUAUUACAGCUUCAACUCUUCUGGGAAGGCUGUCCACAAGGUUGCGGAGUGUGUUUCUAGCAAUUUUCCACCAUCUUUCCAAAAGCGCAUUGGUGAGGUCACACACUGAUGUUGGUGGAGAAGGCCUGGCUCUCAAUCCAAUCCAAUCCAAUCCAAUCCACUUUAUUUAUAUAGCACAUUUACACAACAAGAAUGUUUCCAAAGUUCUGCACAGCCAUGUUAAAAACAAUAUUAAAAACAAAAUUAAAAACAAUAUUAAAAACGAUAUUAAAAACAAUAUUAUGCUACACCAAUGACUGAAUAAAAACAAAGAAUAAAUGAAUAGAAAACCAAUACAGAAACAAUAUAAAAAAUAAAUAUGAUUAAAAACGAUUUUAAAGGGUAAAACCAAUUAAAACAGUAAAAUAGACAUCAACAUUUAUAAAAAACACAGAGGACAACAGAGUCCUCUCAGCCUCUCUCCGUCCUAAUUCAUCCCAAAGGUGUUCUGUCGGGUUCAGGUCAGGACUCUGUGCAGGCCAGUCAAGUUCAUUCAC